rnacentral:rRNA from 1 species
UGGCCUACGGGGGGCAGCAGUGGGGAAUAUUGCACAAUGGGGGAAACCCUGAUGCAGCAACGCCGCGUGGGUGAAGGAGCGUUUCGGCGCGUAAAGCCCUGUCAGCGGGGAAGAAGAAAGACGGUACCCGACCAAGAAGCCCCGGCUAACUACGUGCCAGCAGCCGCGGUAAUACGUAGGGGGCGAGCGUUAUCCGGAAUUACUGGGUGUAAAGGGAGCGUAGGCGGUUUAGCAAGUCAGAAGUGAAAGCCCGGGGCUCAACUCCGUGACUGCUUUUGACACUGUUGAACUACAUUGCAGGAGAG